rnacentral:lncRNA from 12 species
UCAUGCUUCUAGAGGAAGUAUAACCUGUCUUCUCCUAACCUCAAGGUAAAAAACAAAACAAAUAGCCCCAUCAUACCAAAACCACUAAGAGAGAGUAGGAAAGGGAGAUGUGUAGUUUUUGGGGUGACCCAGGUGUGCUGUGUGGGGUUUUUGGGGUGACCCAGGUGUGCUCUGUGGUUUUUGGGUUACCCAGGUGUGCUCUGUGUGGUUUUUGUUGUUACCCAGGUGUGCUGUGUGUGGUUUUUGGGGUGACCCAGGUGUGCUCUGUGUGGUUUUUGUUGUUACCCAGGUGUGCUGUGUGUGGUUUUUGGGGUGACCCAGGUGUGCUCCCCCCCCCCCCCCCCCCCCCCCCCCCCCCCCCCCCCCCCCCCCCCCCCCCCCCCCCCCC